UGGGGUGUGCAUCAGACGCAAAUUCUGUCUAUUAUUGUAAACAAGUUGUUAAAAGUGAACACGUCUGGUUUUGUUAUGAGCACUUCCCACUCAGAGCCCAAAGGUCCUCGCAUUGAAUCGAUGCAAAAAAAGACUUUGAAAAAUGACAGCAGUUGUGUUGUGUGGUCCAGUAAUCCUUUCAACUCUCAACCUGAAGUUUAUCAAAACUCAAACUCAGCCCUUUGCAAUAUCACACCUUGCAACACAGUGUACUUUAUAAUGAAUGUUUCGCAGUUUAAAACACCAAAAUUUCAAUUUAAAGUUUGUGCACGUAACAUAUUGAUACAUUGCUAUUCUGAGUUCUAAUUGCGAUAUCCUAAAUAUCAAUAAUAUAUGAAAUGUUUGGCAUUCAAAAAAGAGGUGUGUAAAGUAAUUUGUUACAGUGCAUAUUUAUUUGUCACUAAAAAGAUCAGAGUUUAGUUUGCUUGUCAUUUCCUUUUAAGCAAACAUUAUUAGACAACAAAACAAACGUUGUUUAAGUGAAAGUGCAAGACAAUUCCGACCCAGUUUGGGCACAAAUACAACAACUAAUUAAAGAAAUUCAGUUUGUCUUGCGUCAUCCUACAUGUAGCAAGCCUCUUAUAAACAUCUCCCAAGUUGGCUACAUCAACGUUUCCAACAACCGAGCUGGGCAUCGACAUAUUGUUCCGAACGAGUCGCUCGAACUGAAACGAUCUGAUCCAACAGAUAGCAGGCUCUGCGUGACUCGUCUGUUAAUGUGACUGACCUGGAUAUGUUGCUUUCCAAUAAUAUGAGCCUUACUCCGGAUUAGCUGUCUGCGAUUGACGCAAUUCAACAACAGUUGUUGUCAGGAAUUUCCGGCUUUGGGAUGGCAAUUUGGCGUCGGGGCUUCAUCUCUGUCUUUGGCCUGGUCGCAGCAGAAGCAGCAACAAGAACAACAAUUAAGCCUGUUCCUACAGGAACCCAUGCAAUCAUAGAUCGGUAAGUAGCUGAACAACAGGCUGUCUGGUCAGCUGGGCCCAGGGCCCAGUGACACUUCCUGGCACAGGACCUUGGGGCCAAUGCUCAACUAGUCCUACCCGCAGGGUGUAGCCACACUGAACCUGGGGCUUCAUACUUUCUUGGCCAGGGGCCAAGAUAUCCUCGUCAAUUAGGGACACAUUCCUGGGAUGCCCUAAGGUCUUUCUAUCUGUUCACUGAGGUCUUAUGCUCACAAGUUCAAGCCCAGUAGCGAUGUCCACAUUAUCAAACUCUGGAUCUCAAUAGAAACCCGGAUAGCAAGGCGUUGAGUUUGUUCUUGAAGCAUUUGCACCAGAAGCAGUCAUCAUCUUGAUAUUCUGGAAUCUCCAUGGUGAAGGACCCUCAGUCUGUGAACAAAAUGCAGAGCGAACCUCAGAUGCCUUUUGACAAAAUCAAACCAUCCAAUCAGAAACACAGACUGUUGCAGCAGUUGUUACCAUAUUGACCCCAGUCAAACCUAAGAAGCUCAGUGAUAAAAACUGAUUUAUCACAACAAUUCAAGUGGAAAGCCACAUGUCAACAACUACAUGUUGUAUGUUGCCAGCCAAGUUGUAUUCAAAGACAAACAAUACUUUAUGCUCUAUUGUGUAUGUGACCAGCCAAGUUGUAUUCAAAGAAAAAGUCAAAACCAAUAGUUUACGUUUUAUUUUUUAUGUGACCAACCAAGUUGUUUGUAUAGGUCCCUGGUUUAGCAAAGCAUUUAAAGUAUUUUUAAAAGCACACAUAUUGCAUGUCUGUUCAAUGUCUUUGCCUGUAUUAUGAAACUUUCACUACAGAUGUUGAUCCUGAUGAUGAUAAAUAAAUGGGAAAUACAAUGUUAUCAAA